CUUUGGAACUUACAGUAUGCAGCUCAAGUCCAGGCCACUGCUGAUGCUGAUCAGAGAUCAGAUUCUACGUCCUAACCUGUAAAUUUAUGGGCUGCCAAACACUGCAAGUACAAUGCGACAACUGAUUUUCUCUCUGAAGCCUCCUCCUCCUGCUUGUAUAAAAAAAAAGAAGAAAAAAACGAGGAAGGCCUGUAAAAUGAAUGAUACUUGAGGUGGGCUUGUAAAGACAACUAGGUUGAAAUCAAAUUUUUUUUGUUGUUGCCAAAAACUAGGUUCAAAUCUUGUUCAAGGUUAUUAUACUUUUUCUAUCUAGUUUUUUCAUAAAGUAACAGAACACUAGUCUAUAUUCUUCAUCUCUUUAUUUUGAACCAUUUGUUUGUUCCCAUCAUACAUACUACAGAAAAUUAACAAAAUAAAAAUCAAUUCCGCAUUUACACUAACACAAAAUGAAGGCGCUCAGCUCCGACAAGAGAACUAGGACAUUCCGAGCUCACAUUAACUACUUCAGCCAAAAAAAGAACUAACAAUUCAAAACAAUCUAAUCAAAGCCCGAUCAACCACUACAAUUAUAAAUAUACAAUCAUAACACUAUGAUAUAGAUAUAUCAUAUAUACAUAUAUAAAGACGAGAGAGAAGAGCGAGAGUACCUGCGCAAGGACCGGUUGGGGGAGACCGGAGGCUUGGAAGAGAGCGACCGCUUCGUUGCCACUAAUCCGGCCAUCGCGGUCCAAAUCGGCUCGUCUUAAAUAUGCAUCGAAGAGAUCCACAUUCGCCGAUUGGUUUUGCGCCAUGAUCAGACUUUUUA
rnacentral:lncRNA from 1 species